rnacentral:lncRNA from 1 species
UUCCCAUCCCCCUCGCGCUCACCUCCCGGCUGCGCCGCGCGCGAGGCGGAGCGAGGAGCCCGCGGCCGCCGCCGAGCUGAGGGGCGAGAGCCUCGCCCGCGCCGCCGCUGACAGGAGGAUCGCCGCGGGUUGCGCUCGUCGGCCGGGAGGCCCCCGCGGUCUUUCCGGGACGCCGACCCACCGCGGGGCGUCCGGGGGCUGCGAGGUACCCUGGGAAUCGCGGGCGGCGCCGGCAGGCGGCCGCGGUCCUCACGGGAGACCCCGGGGACUGGAGCUUGAGCCCGAGGUGCGGCGAGCCCCUCAGAGCGGCAGGGCACCUUUCUUGAUUAAAGCUAUUCAUCUUUGAUCCUCAGCUGGUAGGAUUUUUAUUUUAAUGCAUUAUAAUACCUGAACACCUGGCUUUUACUAAUUUUACUAGCACAUGCACUAGUUGAUAUCCUACUGUUUUGUUUUACCAAUGAAUAAUUUAACAUUUCUAAUGAAUAAUUUAACACAUUCAAUUAAAUGAGCAGGUUUGUGGAAUAAUUGCCUUUUCUGAUCCUUCUGGGUGUUGGAUCCUUUACCUAGGUGCUUUUAUAUACUAUGUUAGGAUUGUGUUCAACUGCAUAUAACAGAACCAGAGUACAGUGACUUAAUCAAAUAGAAUAUUAAGAGACAGUCUCCUUUUCUAUUUUCUCUCUGCUAUCCUUGAGCGUAGCCUUUGUCCUAUGAUUGCAAGGUUUCUUCCCCAAACCUCUUGUCUUUUUAUCAGGCAAACAUUAGCUUUCCUUGAAGCCUUACUCAUAGCACUUAUGCUUUCAUUUCAUUGGUUACAGUUGAGUCCUAUGGUUACCAUAGGAUGCAAGGGAAUCUGAAAAGUUGAUAUUUUAGUCAUAUUGCUGUCUUAUCCAAAAUUAGUAUUCUGUUAAGAGAGGGAGAAUUUUGGGUAGGCAACUAGCCAUUGGAUAGUAGUAGGCAGUCACACAUGUCUAUUGCUUAAAACAGCUCUGCAGGUUAGAUGGUAUCAUACACAUGGCAGAGGAGUAAAUCAGGUUCAGAGAGGCUAAGUAACUUGUCAGUCACACAACUAGUAAUUGAAAGAUCAGGAUAUGAACAUCGGUU